rnacentral:rRNA from 1 species
UGGGGAAUUUUGGACAAUGGGGGCAACCCUGAUCCAGCCAUGCCGCGUGAGUGAAGAAGGCCUUCGGGUUGUAAAGCUCUUUCGGCGGGGACGAAACGGUCCGUGACAACACCACGGACUAAUGACAGUACUCGCAGAAGAAGCACCGGCUAACUACGUGCCAGCAGCCGCGGUAAUACGUAGGGUGCAGGCGUUAAUCGGAAUUACUGGGCGUAAAGCGUGCGCAGGCGGCUCCUUAAGUCAGAUGUGAAAUCCCCGGGCUUAACCUGGGAACUGCGUUUGAAACUGAGGGGCUAGAGUGUGGAAGAGGGGGGUGGAAUUCCAGGUGUAGCAGUGAAAUGCGUAGAUAUGCGGAGGAACACCGAUGGCGAAGGCAGCCUCCUGGGAUAACACUGACGCUCAUGCACGAAAGCGUGGGGAGCAAACAGGAUUAGAUACCCAAGUAGUCCCUGAGCGGGCUGGCAAGGCGCAU